rnacentral:rRNA from 1 species
CAUUUGGUGUAUGUGCUUGGCUGAGGAGCCAAUGGUGCGACGCUACCAUCUGUGGGAUUAUGACUGAACGCCUCUAAGUCAGAAUCCCCCCUAAACGUAACGAUACCCUAGCGCCGUGGCUCCGUGGUUGGCCUGGGAUAGCCGGCCCCCGGUGGGGGGUCGGUGCGGAGUGCCAUUCGUGACUGGCUCGGAGGGCGGACGGAAGGGCUUCUGCCUCUCUCGCCUCUGACGCACCGCAUGAUCGUGUCGAACCCGGUGCUAAAUGACAUGCAGACGACCUGAUUCUGGGUCAGGGUUUCGUACGUGGCAGAGCAGCUACCCUCGUUGCGAUCUAUUGAGAGUCAUCCCUCGAUCCAACCUUUUGUC